UACGUAGGGGGCAAGCGUUGUCCGGAAUUAUUGGGCGUAAAGAGCGUGUAGGCGGCCAGAUAAGUCCGCUGUGAAAUCUCGAGGCUCAACUUCGAGCUGUCGGUGGAAACUAUCUGGCUAGAGUCCGGAAGAGGAGAAUGGAAUUCCUGGUGUAGCGGUGAAAUGCGCAGAUAUCAGGAAGAACACCCGUGGCGAAGGCGGCCCCCUGGGCCGUACCUGACGCUGAGGCGCGAAGGCUAGGGGAGCGAACGGGG
rnacentral:rRNA from 1 species